rnacentral:rRNA from 1 species
AAAUUGAAGAGUUUGAUCAUGGCUCAGAUUGAACGCUGGCGGCAGGCCUAACACAUGCAAGUCGAACGGUAACAGGAAGAAGCUUGCUUCUUUGCUGACGAGUGGCGGACGGGUGAGUAAUGUCUGGGAAACUGCCUGAUGGAGGGGGAUAACUACUGGAAACGGUAGCUAAUACCGCAUAACGUCACAAGACCAAAGAGGGGGACCUUCGGGCCUCUUGCCAUCGGAUGUGCCCAGAUGGGAUUAGCUAGUAGGUGGGGUAACGGCUCACCUAGGCGACGAUCCCUAGCUGGUCUGAGAGGAUGACCAGCCACACUGGAACUGAGACACGGUCCAGACUCCUACGGGAGGCAGCAGUGGGGAAUAUUGCACAAUGGGCGCAAGCCUGAUGCAGCCAUGCCGCGUGUAUGAAGAAGGCCUUCGGGUUGUAAAGUACUUUCAGCGGGGAGGAAGGGAGUAAAGUUAAUACCUUU